GAUGAACGCUAGCUCCAGGCUUAACACAUGCAAGUCGAGGGGAAACGACAUCGAAAGCUUGCUUUUGAUGGGCGUCGACCGGCGCACGGGUGAGUAACGCGUAUCCAACCUGCCCAUCACUUGGGAAUAACCUUGCGAAAGUAAGACUAAUACCCAAUGAUAUCCCACGAAGGCAUCGGAAUGGGAUUAAAGAUUUAUCGGUGAUGGAUGGGGAUGCGUCUGAUUAGCUUGUUGGCGGGGUAACGGCCCACCAAGGCAACGAUCAGUAGGGGUUCUGAGAGGAAGGUCCCCCACAUUGGAACUGAGACACGGUCCAAACUCCUACGGGAGGCAGCAGUGAGGAAUAUUGGUCAAUGGGCGAGAUCCUGAACCAGCCAAGUAGCGUGCAGGAAGACGGCCCUAUGGGUGGUAAACUGCUUUUAUAAGGGAAUAAAGUGGGUCACGUGUGACUUUUUGCAUGUACCUUAUGAAUAAGGACCGGCUAAUUCCGUG
rnacentral:rRNA from 1 species